GCUCCGGUGGCCUUGUGGUUAGAGCGUCCACCUCAGAUGUGGGAGGUCGCGGGUUCGAAAUCCGACUGGACCA